rnacentral:rRNA from 1 species
CCUACGGGUGGCUGCAGUGGGGAAUAUUGGACAAUGGGCGCAAGCCUGAUCCAGCCAUGCCGCGUGGAUGACGAAGGCCCUAGGGUUGUAAAGUCCUUUCGCACGCGACGAUGAUGACGGUAGCGUGAGAAGAAGCCCCGGCCAACUUCGUGCCAGCAGCCGCGGUAAUACGAAGGGGGCUAGCGUUGUUCGGAAUCACUGGGCGUAAAGGGCGCGUAGGCGGCCACCCAAGUCAGGCGUGAAAGCCCCGGGCUCAACCUGGGAACCGCGCUUGA